GACGAGGGGUCCAAGCGUUGUUCGGAAUUACUGGGCGUAAAGCGUGCGCAGGCGGCUUCUCAAGUCAGGGGUGAAAGCCCAGAGCUCAACUCUGGAAUUGCCUUUGAGACUGAGUGGCUUGAGUACGAGAGAGGUGAGUGGAAUUCCCAGUGUAGAGGUGAAAUUCGUAGAUAUUGGGAAGAACACCGGUGGCGAAGGCGGCUCACUGGCUCGUAACUGACGCUCAUGCACGACAGCGUGGGGAUCAAACAGG
rnacentral:rRNA from 1 species